rnacentral:lncRNA from 1 species
GGCUAGGGGUCUAAUUGGAGCUGUAGCUGCUGGCCUAUACCAGAGCCAUGGCAACACCAGAUCCAAGCUACAUCUGCAACCUACACCACAGCUCACCGCAAUGCCGGAUCCUUAACCCACUGAGUGAGGCCAGAGAUGGAACCCACAACCUCAUGGUUCCUAGUCAGAUUUGUUUCUACUAUUAUGAUAUUUCGUGUGUCCUUGGAUCCUCAAGAGCCCCGGCAUUGCGACCAGCACAAAGCAAGUACUUGACACAAGUCUCCUCUUUGAGAUGAUGCCUAUUUAUCAAAUUUAUUUCCUUUUUCAAACAUAGGGAAUAACUGGAUAAUUUCAGUACUUAGAACCCUUCCUACCUGCCCUUUUUCAGUUCAAAAACGAACUUGUUGCACACUUGUGGCUAUAGAGAAUAACAGAAUCAAUUUUUUUUGUUUAAAGAGGACCAUUUGAACAUCUUUAUGUAGUUUUCUCAAUACGUCAUAACUGUUGAGGGAGAGGAACUUAUAACAGAUUUUUUCCUCUCCUAAAAAUGUGUCUUUUAUGACAAGUUGAGAUGGGUGACUGAAGGUACUUGACCUUGAGAAAUUAAAUGCCUCUAAAAGUGGGGAAAAAUAUAUCUACUGAGACCAAAUUAAAUGAUAAUGGAAUCUGGAAGCAUGUUUUAUCAUUAGAAAUUUUAAAAGUCCCUGGGUUUUUUUAAGUGAUUUUAAAAAAGGUCCUUUUUUGGGGGGAGGCGGGAAUUAAAAAAAGGAUUCUUGUUGGCUCUGUUUUCACUAAAUCACCAUCAUGUUGAUCCCAAAUGGGACUUAGGGAAGAAGCAGGCAGUCGACUGUGGGCAUCCCUCGGGUAACAACCUGUUGUCUCGGACCUUGUGUCUAAGGCCUGGGUAGGUCUCUGGAGAACAUCAGUCUGGUUGGCAAAUGCAUAUCCUAAUAUUCACUGCAUUAUCUGGAGAGCACUUGCCUUGAGAUUGAGAAUAAGCAGGCAAAGCAGCAAGAACUCCUUCUUCUUUGAUUGUGUUGACACUUGCUCCGACUAAUUUCUAACAUUGAAGAAAGAGGCCAGAUCACCUUUGACUUCGGAAAAAUUGUGGUUCCUAGAGCCCAAAGUAAAUACAAUUCUAAAAUCACUCAUUUUGUUUCAGACAAUCAAGGAUCUCAUAAAACAACCAACAUUUAGAAAAGAGGAAACCCUAAACCAAUUGUAGGAUUUUGAGCAAAUAAAAACCUUAGAGGAUGUCUGACUUUUUUUACAGAUGAUAAAAUGGAGAUUUGAAGAAAUUAAGUGAUUUGGCUGAGGUCAUCAGGAUUACUGUUGGCAGAAAUGGAUCUCUAGAAGCCAAUUCCUGGCUCAUUCAUAUUCGCACAGGGAACUAUUAAGACUGUAAAUGUCAGGCUGGUACCUCAUCCAUUUUUUCUUCCACAAAUUAUGCUGGGAUGCUUUCAAAGCCCCAUUGGAUAAAAUGAGAUUAUAGCCAUUAAGUGGUUGUUAUCUGAGUUUGAAUCCAUGCAUUUCAUAUCUAGAUACCCCCCUCUCUUUCUUUUUGUCACUUCUAGGGCGUCACCCACAACAUAUGGAGGUUCCCAGGCUAGGGGUCUAAUCGGAGCUGUUGCCGCUGGCCUACGCCAGAGCCACAGCAACUCGGAAUCUGAGCCGAGUCUGUGACCUACACCACAGCCCACGGAAACACUGGAUCCUUAACCCACUGAGCGAGGCCACGGAUCAAACCCGCCACCUAGUCAGAUUUGUUAACUACUGAGCCAUGACGGGAACUCUCCCCCUUUCUUGUUAAAAAAAACAAAAUUUAUUAUGGUUGAUUUACAAUGUUCUGUCAAUUUCUGCUGUACAGCAAAAUGACCCAGUUAAAUAUAUAUAUAUAUACACACACACACGUAAGUUCUUUUUCUCAUACUAUCUUCCAUCAUGUUCCAUCACAAGUGAUUGGCUAUCGUUCCCUGUGCCAUACAGCUUGAUCUCAUAGCUUAUCUACUCCAAGUGUCAUAGUUUAUAGAUGCCCCCCUGUCUAUUCUGUUCUUCAUUAUUCUAUUUCUUCUCUACUCUUCACCUACCAGGGAUGACUUAGGGGAAUAGAUACAGCAUUAUUUGGACAGAAAAACAAUGUGCAGUGGUGGUUCUCGACAGGGAUACAAACAUCACACUCUCCAUUCCAUUGCUAUUAUUUGGAGUCUACAAGCAAAGAAAUUCUUCAGUUACCCUAAGCUCUGUGAGCUCAGUCAAAACAAUUAACUUCUGUGGACCUCAUUUUUU